rnacentral:misc_RNA from 1 species
GUGUGGCACUUGGAAUUGAAUCACAAAUAUGAUCAAAAGACAAUUACAUAAAUCUUCAAAUUGAAAUCUCUUCUCACAGUUUUCAGUUGCUUAGAGAAAUUUACUUUCUAGUACUAAAACUUAUAUCCAGCAGUGACUAAUUGGCCAUGACAGAGAGCAGAAUGAGAAGGGAUACAAUAAAAUACUUAUAAUCUCAAAGUAACUGGAUGAUCAAAGCCGAACUCUUCUUCAGCUUUUUCAGUAGAGCUUUAAUUGUAGGUUGAUUCAGAUAGGUUACUGGCAUCAUGAAUCUCUUUUUCAAACUUAUUUGCAGUUAAGACAGACUGGCACAGGACUUGCUUGUGCUACAGGUUCGUUUAAUCUGUUAACUAGUCCAAGAAUUAUGGAUCUUAACCAUUAGGUUGAUAUGUUUAUUUGUAGAAAUUACUGCAAAUAAAUCAGAGAAAAGCUAUCCUGGCUGAAGAAAUGAUCAUAGGGUAACAUGCACUUUUGAGUGAAACAAGGACUAUAUUUGUCUUUAGAUAUCAUUGGAAAAGAACAAAAAGAUGUGCAGAGAAUGUACAAAAUUGUCUUUGAUUUUACAUAUCAUGAUCAAUUCAAACGUAAAGCAAGUCCAUGAAGAUGUCUUCUCUGCAGGGAAUUGUGAUACCACCCAUUGGAUGAUUGAAUCCAAACUCUUCCUCAGCCUUUCUUAGCAAUUCUUGAAAUGAAGGCUUAUUCAAAAAUGAUACUGGAAUUAUGAAUCUCUUCUUUUGGCCUUCUCCAACAUAUACUGCUAUGUGGCCUUUUGGAACAUCUGUAAAAUUAGAAGAAGAUUGAUUUGGAAGCAAAUUUGAUCGGCGAAGAAUCUGCUUAGCGUGUGUAAUAGCAGGAAAACGAAUAGCCAUUAUGAUUAAUUCUCUGGAAGCUGAGAUUUUCAGAAAUGAUACAGAAGAAGGGAAAAUUUUGCUUUGCAAGUAGAGAAUGUGAUGCUUGAGGACUUGAGUUGGCUGUGGGGUGAUGCAUGAGUAUAUAUAGAUAAGAGGGUAUGUGAGAAAAUCUACUGUAAGCAUAGGCGAGUGGUGAAGAGUCCUCUUGGUGGGU